AUUGAACGCUGGCGGCAGGCCUAACACAUGCAAGUCGAGCGAGCGGCGGACGGGUGAGUAAUGUCUGGGAAACUGCCUGAUGGAGGGGGAUAACUCCUGGAAACGGUAGCUAAUACCGCAUACCAUCAGAUGUGCCCAGAUGGGAUUAGCUAGUGGGUGGGGUAACGGCUCACCUAGGCGACGAUCCCUAGCUGGUCUGAGAGGAUGACCAGUCACAGGGGAAAAGAGAAACGGUCCAGAAGCAGACGGGAGGAAGCAGUGGGGAAUAUUGCACAAUGGGCGCAAGCCUGAGGCAGCCAUGCGGAGUGGUGGAAGAAGGCCUUCGGGUGGUAAAGCACUUUCAGCGGGGAGGAGUGAACCGCAGAAGAAGAACCGGCUAACACCGUGCCAGCAGCCGCGGUAAUAC
rnacentral:rRNA from 1 species